AGGUAGGAUGUUUUACUUUCCGACACUGAGACACUGCGAUAACGACGUACGUUGAACUGUCGCGACGCAGAUUGCGGGUUUGCGACCAACUGUUUUCUUACUAUACGACAUUUCAGUUCAGCGCAAAUCGUUUGAGGCAGUACAGUUUAUCAAGAUUAACGCUAUUCGUCGUAAAAUUGCUGCGAUUCUUUUACUUUACGACGAAGAAGAAGAAGAAAAUUUAGCUCUAUUACUUCACGCUCCUGAACCUUUCCAGAAACAUUCUGACAUAUACAAGAAUCGUGACAAAGAAGGAACUUACAACAUUUUUAUUGAAGCGAUAGUGAGAUGCCUUUUUCAGAGUAUCACAUGAUUUGUACUACUAUAUCUUGAGUGCAAUUCAAGAGGAUAUAACGACGAUGCCUUCAUAUCGCUGUCCUAAACCAAUAAGACCUGAAAUUAAGGACUGGAAAUACACGAACACAAUCUACUAAACGUUGGUCGAAAUCAUCAUCUAUGGUGGUUUGUGACACGGCAGAAAAAAAAACAGUGAAAUGAUAAAAUCGCAACAGUGUAUUUUUUUGGCUGUUACUUUUAGACAGGUCAAAAUGAAGUCCACCGAGUCCAUGUAAUAAAUAUUAAAAGUACCCAAUAAAACCUUUUAAAUGAGGUAACAUAAGAUUUCUAUUUAAUGCAUUUAUUCAAGAUGGCGCUUAUGUGUUAUUUUGACAUCUAGAACUGUCGUUUUUAUGUCAAAAUAAAAUAGUGAUUUAUUUUCGUACACUGAUUUUUACCUAUUCAAAAAUCAUAAAAAUGUAAAACGUUAAAAUAAAAAAAAAACUUUUUUAUUAGGCCGCCAUUUUGAAACGGGUUAAGAUAUGGGUCUAAUAUUUCAGGGUUAUAAAGUACUCAUUGAGACCUUUAAAAUGAGGUACCACACGACCCCCCUUUCUAUUUAAUUUUUUUUCUCAAGAUGUCGCCCAGCCGCCAUCUUGGAAUUUAUAACUACCUAGUUUACAGUGAAAAAUAGUAUCUAUAGACCAAUUUACUUAUGCCAAGUUUCAAAAAUUUUUAUUUGACCCGUUCAAAAAAUAAAUGGGGGGGGGGACUUCAAAGAAAAGCACUGUAUACAUACAUAUGUAUAUAAAUAAAUUUUAUGUUACGUCUUAGAGAUUUUCCGAUUACGUUUAAAAAUCACAAUAUUAAUAUUCAUAUAAUUUAUACAUCCUAUAUUAUUUCCAGAGAAAGUACGUUGGCUGCUACAAAAAUAUCGAAAGAUACCUACCAAAAAAUAUUGAAGGAGUCGGCCAAUAUAAAAAAUAACCCCUCUUGUUCAUUCAGCAGUCCAAGAAAAAAGAGGCCCAGGAAAUCACGUAUACUUGACAUUACUUCGACGCAACUUAAAGAAAUUAGGAGCAUAGUUAAUGAUUUUUAUAUAGUGGAAAAAAGAAGGCCUACUCUCAAGUUAAUCCUACAAAAGAUCAUUGACCGAUCUGUUAUUCAUGAGCCUAUGAGUAUAUCAUCCUUAGCAAAACUUCUAAAGAGCAUUGGAUUUAGAUGGAAGAAGACAGAUGAUAAUAGAAAGGCCUUGAUGGAAUCAUAUGACAUACGUUUGAAGAGAAUAAAAUACUUAAAACAAAUUACCGAAUUUAAAAAUCAAGGUAGAAAUAUAGUGUAUACUGACGAAACCUAUAUACACAGUAGUCAUACUUCUGACAAAGGUUGGUUUGACGAAAGCCUAAGCGGUAUACGAAAACCCAUUUCAAAAGGACAGCGAUUAAUCAUCGUUCAUGCUGGAGGAAAAAAUGGUUUUGUUAAAGACGGUCUACUUAUAUUCCGCUCAGUUCUAAAAGUGGCGAUUACCAUGACGACAUGAAUCAUGAAAAUUUCAUGAAAUGGGUGGAAAUCCAAUUACUUCCGAAUUUGCCACCAAAUUCGGUCUUAGUUUUGGACAAUGCAUCAUACCAUAAUGUACAAGUAAAAAAGAAUGUUACCUCAGGAAGUAAGAAACAACUCAUAAUUGAUUGGCUUAAGGAGCAUAAUUUAGAACAUGACGAGAAAAUGACAAAAACGGAACUUUAUGAAAUAGUUCUUCAAAAUAAAAGAUUUUAUCCGAUAAAGUGCAAACUUGACGAACUAAUGGAAAGUCACGGACACUCAACUUUGCGUUUGCCUCCAUACCACCCAGAAUUGAACCCCAUUGAAAAAAUCUGGGCCACUGUUAAAAACUGGGUAGCAAGCAGGAACACAACUUUUAAGUUAGCAGAUGUAGAAGCUUUGACGAGGCAAAAAUUUGCAGAAGUAUCUGUCGAUGAUUGGAGAAACAUUUGUGACCAUGUCGACAAAAUUGAAGACAAAUAUAUAAAAGAUCAUAAUCUUUUUGAUGAAACUUUAGAUUCCCUAAAAUUUACGGUAAACACUGGCUCAUCAGAUGAAGAUUUGGAAACGAGUUCCGACGAAUCAAUUAUCAGCAAUGUGGACAUUUUGUCAGAUAGUGACUAAUUUAAUAAUAUGAAUAUGUAUUAUAUACCGUAAUAAUAUUAUGUAGUGUUUUUAUGAGCAGUAAAAUUUAUAUACCCUUA